rnacentral:lncRNA from 10 species
CGCAGAGGGGGGCUGACUGAGAGGAGCAGGCACUGGGGACAAUGGGGACAUCCACGGUUCCUAGCAAUGGAUUUGAGGUGGGAUUUCCAAUUCCUCUUCUCCCACCUUGGAUUUGACCAUCUGAAUACCAAAUUCCUGUCACUUCUAGGAUGUCACCUAAGAUGAGACUGUGGUCUUUCCACUCUUGGGUCCCAAGGAGGUGCCACAGGGCCUACAAUAAGGCAAGGAAGGCUCAGUGAGG